rnacentral:lncRNA from 1 species
CCCCGCGGCCGUGGACAUCUUCAAGCUCUCCCGCUCCGACCUGGGCCGCCUCCGCGCCCAGCUCCCCACGGGGGAAGGCGCGCCCCGGUUCAGCACCUACGCGGUGCUCGGCGCGCACGUGUGGCGUUGCGCGUCGCUGGCCCGCGGGCUGGCGCCCGAGCAGCCGACGAAGCUGUACUGCGCCACGGACGGGCGCCAGCGGCUGCUGCCGCCGCUCCCGGAGGGUUACUUCGGCAACGUCAUCUUCACGGCCACGCCGCUCGCCGAGGCCGGCAAGGUGAUCGCCUCGCUGGCGGACGGCGCGAACACGAUCCAGGCCGCGCUGGAGAGGAUGGACAACGAGUACUGCCGCUCGGCGCUGGACUACCUGGAGCUGCAGCCGGACCUGUCGGCGCUGGUCCGGGGCGCGCACACGUUCCGGUGCCCCAACCUCGGGCUCACCAGCUGGGUGCGCCUGCCCAUCCACGAAGCCGACUUCGGCUGGGGCCGCCCUGUCUUCAUGGGCCCCGGCGGCAUCGCCUACGAGGGCCUCGCCUUCGUGCUCCCCAGCGCCAGCCGCGACGGCAGCCUGUCCGUGGCCAUCUCGCUGCAGGCCGAGCACAUGGAGAAGUUCCGGAAGAUGAUCUUCGACUUCUGAAACAACGAACCAACAAACAGCACACGACACAAGGAUGAAGGACGGCACCGGAUCAGCACAAGGCAGCAGGGGCGAUGUGUCACGACCUUUACUAGGAUGCAGCAAAUGAUUCUUUGAUUCCAAACCGUAGUUCCUGCACAUUUUCCCUUCCUUCUUGCCAGUUUGGGCAUGACCAGGACG